GCAGCCCUUCUGCUGAUGCGCGCGCGCUGGCGCCUUUUAAAGGCAACUGGCGGAGUGGCGACUCCGCCAGAGCCCGGGAGCUGCCCCCGCCCCCAAGCCUCGACUCCGCCGCACGGCCUGGGCCCGGGAAGCCCCCUGUACCAUAACCCCCACCCCAACCUUAGCACCCUCCACUCACUUUGGGGAAAUUCAACCAUGGAGACAGGAGGUCCUGCCCUUGCCCCUCACCCCACCCCACUCCCCAGCAGGGGAGACUCUGCUUCCAUAGGAACCUUGGAAGAAAACAAGAUGCCAGGCCUAGAGCACUGGGGGAUCCUCUCUGGACAAGGCCGCAGGGCGAAAACACCAGAGCCCAGACCUGGUGGGUUUUCCGGAUCCUCCUCAUUCUGGACCUGCUCCUGGAUCGCCCUGGACUCUGUGACCAACCAGCCAGGUUGCUGCUUGUCAAUGUCUGCUUCCAUCGAAGGUGUCCUGCAGCCCAGCCACCGGCUCUCUGGAACCUUCCUGAGCCAAGCCUUCCCCAGACUGCUUACAAGGGCCUGCUGGCCUCUGGAUGGAAGUGUGGCCUGCAGGCUCUGGCAGGACCCCCAGGGCCAGGUGGACCCAGCCCUCUGCACUUUCCUGCCCGACCCUAAUAAGGCUGCACCCUUCCCGCCGCGCCCACGGGGGCAUUGGACCCGGGCUGGCGGAAGACGGCUGUGAGGUGCUGGACCGUGUGCCCAAGGAGCUGUGUAGGUUCCCGACAUCUCUGGGCCGCUCCUCUGGGCCAGGGCUGGGGACCCAGAGGUGGAUCCGAUCCAGCCCAGCUGCGGGGACCAAGUCUGGCAGAGGAGAGAGAUUCACGCUCUGGAAGAGUUAGCCUUGAGCCUUGAGCGGCUUCUCCAAGGGACACCCACUGCCAGGCCCGAGCCUUCAGUGCACAGAAGGGAACCACGUGGAUGUCUCUGAGGAGGGCUUGUUCUACACCCCGAGAAGACCCUCGGACCUCUCCAGUGGUGAGUCCCUGACGCGCUCGGCGUGGAUGUGAGAGCAGCCCCUGAUAGGCUGGCUUUGAAAAAGGAAAACCCAGGGUCAGCUCUAGUUCCUGUUGCCCCUCCCUCCUCGGUCCACACGGGCCAGGUCCCCAGGGCCCAGAGUGGCCCUGCUCAUCCAGUGCGUGGUGCCCUGGGGCCCUCAGGCCCACUCGGCCCUAGCACUGAGCACACGGGCUCGUCCCCACAUGAAACUUGGUCUCAGGGCAGCAGCAUCCGGCUUCCGAAGCCUGGGAGGUGCCCACCAGGUGGGACCAUGGCUCAGAGACGCUCGGAGUGCCAGGGACGAGAGGACCCUCCCAGGCCAAGUGGUCCAGCCCACUGCCCUUUUGCAAGUAGGGAAACUGAGGCUUAGAGAGGGGAAGGGACUUGCAUAACACCCCAGGAGGCUGGUGGCAGAGCGAGGACCAGAACACGUGUCCCCUGACCCUCCUGCCCUAUCUGGUUGCCCCCGCAUCACACACAGUCUGGGGGCGCCUAGACCAAGGCUCCCUCCAGUCCUUCCCGGAUCUGUAGGCCCCUGCAGGCCACGCCCUCUUUGUGCCCGGCCAAUCGGGAGCCUUCCCUUCACCUGGAUGGUCUUUUCUCCUCAAGCUUCCUGGUAUCCCCUCCCCAUCUGCACAGGGCUCCUCUUUUUCUGCUUCCAGAAGCCGCUCCAUCAAUGGCCAUAGUUGCUGCUGCCCUCUUCUUGCCAUGGUUCCACCCUCUCCCUGAGUUCUGGCAGUGCCAUUGGUGGGGAGCCUCGUCCCCCUGCUCUUGGGGGGGGGGGGACGGUCUCUGGGUUGCUUCUAGGGCUUCCCUUCUGUCUCUGGCCCAGUCCCAGGCCAACUGCUUUCUCUUGAUCACCUCAGCCUUUAAUCCGUGCCGUUUCUCCUGGGAGCGGGUGGGCCACACUCCCUGUAGACCCCUCUCUGCUGGGCCCGGAGCCAGCAGGGAUCACAAUGGCCCAUCAGCUGCCACAGGGCUGCCGUGAGGUGUGGAUGAGUUAGUGCGCGAAGGGGGUGUGUGUGAGGUGCAGGUGAGUGCUGCACCUGUCAACUCUCCUGUUGCGAGGUGGAUUCAGGUGGUCACAAGGAGACCCUUGACCCUGGAGCCUUUGGUGGCCUAGGCACCUGUGAGCGGAAGGGGACAAAAGGGCCGAGGGGACUGUUGGUUACAGGGAGCGCUGGAAGCUGGGACGAUUUUAAGCUGGGGAUGGAUGUGACCAGGCUGGUUCCAGGGAAACGGCCAGGGGAGCUUGGCGGCUGCGCAUGGGUGGGGUGUGGGGGCCCCCCAUCCCUGGACUUGCUGAGCAGCACUCGGGCCAGGGAUGCCCGAGGAGGGAGCCACCAGGGCGGCCUGGGCCGGAGCCCUCAGGGUGCCGUUGUGUGACUCCCCCGACCUCCCCGGGCCCCGGCUGUCACCUUUGUCCUUCUCUUGGGGACUGCCGUGGCCCCAGCCGGGCCCAGCCCAUCUGGCGGUCUCAGACGAAGCCGGGUCAAGGCCUUGAAGAGCCGGUGGGUGUCCAGGCCCCCCGUUUCCACACGACAGUGGCAGGGCACGGGCUGCCUCUGAACCAGCCUCUGCCGUCUCGUCAGAACCUUGUUCGAAGUGAUGUUUUUCAUGAAGUUAAAGUCAUGACUAACACUCAACAUUUAUUGUGCUGCUUUGCGAACCAGGCAUUGUUCCAAGAGCUUUCAUUUAAUUUCUCAUUAACCCUAUGAUACAGCCACUAUUUUCUUCUCCCAUCCCUUUUUUUAAAGUUGUUUUUUAAAGAUUUAUUUAUUUGUUUUUAGAGAGGGAAGGGAGGGAGAAAGAGAGAGAGAGAGAAACAUCAAUGUGCGGUUGCUGGGGGCCAUGGCCUGCAACCCAGGCAUGUGUCCUGGCUGGGAAUCGAACCUGCGAUGCUUUGGUUCACAGCCCGCGCUCAAUCCACCGAGCUAUGCCAGCCAGGGCUUUCCCAUCCCCCUUUAACAGAUAAGUAAACUGAGGCACAAGAGAUUAAGUGGCUUGCCCGGUGUGAAGGAGCCAGGACUCCGCGUGGGCCUCUCACCCUAGAGCCUCCCCGGACCACCCCACGCCCCGUCUCCCCAGCCUCAGACUCCCUCCCACCCUCCUGCCCGUCCACAGAGAACGCAGUCCUGUCCCCACAGGCCCUCUGCUCCAGACCGGGCCACUUGUCUCCGUCCUGCCGGUAGCACGGGCGCGAGCCUCCUGGUGGAGGUGGGGCUCAGCUGCCUUCAGCUGCACUGCCCGCCUCGGCCUUCGCUCCACACGUUGUUAGCAGCCUCGGGCUGCUGUGGCUCUGCGGUGGCUGCCCGUGCCUGUGUGGUCUCGUGCACAAGGCUGAGCCCCUCUGUCCGCCCCAUCCACCCCGGUCAGCCAGCACAGCCUCCCGGCCUGCCGACCCCCGGACCCGCGGCUUCCCCGCCUCUCCGCCCCUCCUGGUUGUGCUGUCCCCAGACACCACGGCACCUCCCUCACAGCGGUUGUCCCGCUUACAUGGCUCCACCCAGGUGCCACGUUCUCACCAGCCCGGAUGCCCCCUGAGGUCCAGACAAGGCGUGUGUUUCAAACUAUUGCGUUGCCAGGGCCUGGCACGGGGCCCGGCCCAGACUCCGCCCUCUCACGCGUGUGCGUGAGCAAGUGACGUGCUGACCCCUGCUCCGCGCUGAGCCCCGGCUGGACCCCGAGACUCGGGAGAGCAGCGUAGAUGCCGGUGGGGGAGACGGACAGGCCAACAGCAGCGACGGUGCAGGCCCAGGAAGCACAGGGGUCUGUGAGAGGGACUGAAAAGGAAUCCCGGACCCCGCCGGGGGGCCAGCAGGGCAAGGGGGGAUUUGCCAGCCAGAGAGCAGCGGUGGGCAGGACUCUGGAACGGGGCCGAGGGCCGAACUGACGGUGAAUGGUGGAGGGCCGGUCUCCUCCGCCCCCGGACGUCCAGCUCCCUGAGCGCAGGGCCCGUGUCCUGCACGCCUGUCCCCCGCUCGGGGCCUCGGAGGGUUGGGCCUCCGCUCUGCAUUUGAGGAGUGUUUUCAGCUGAUUGACUGCCCUUCCCCCCGGGGAACACCGGCCGGUUUGACUCACUCCUGUGCCCUCUUCCCUCGGCCCUGCCUUCAGGCCGGUGCCCAGAAAAGCUCCUUCUUUUCCCACCUGAGCUCCUCCCUCCCUCUCUUGCCCCCCCCUCGGCUCCACGUCCCCCACCUUCUCCGCUCGGCCCACUCAUGCAGCUCUGACCGUCUCAACGCGUGGGCGCCCGCGUGUACCCUCUUCACAUGAGAUUUGUUGAUUUCAUAACCAUAAAUAGAAAAAACGCUCUGAAUACUUCUCCGUGCAAGUGGCAUUGGGGGAGCGGUAGGAUAAUGAAAGGGCCUUGGGAGAGAAAGCACCGCCUGCUGGGAUGCAGAUGAAGACAGGAGAGCACACACCAGCCUCCCACGCCACGCGGCUGCCGCGGCGGACGGCUGGGCCCUAGACCCCGGACGGGGACGGACUCGGGAACCCGUUAGGAAACCUUUGCAUGGCUUCAAACCCAUGAAUUCAGAGGAACCGUCUUUCAAAACCAGAAAGAAGCAGACAGCAGAAAGCCUGGAUUCUGAUUCUGCAUUCGUCUCACUCUAGCUGGGGGACCCUGAGCGAGCGACUACACCUCUCCGAGAAGGGGUGUGGGGCUCCUUCCCCCAGGUCGGACUGGAGGCUCCAGAGGCCUGGGACCCCACAGUGCUGUCAUUUCCUCCCUCUAAGACAUGGUCCCCUAAUAAUAUCUUUACCUCUAACAAUAGGACACCCCCCCCCUUCCCAAAAGGCAGCCCCGAGCCCGGGGUUGGGAUGGCGGUGGAACGGAGCACCUGACUCUUCACUGCCAACUGCAACUCAUGCCGCCACGGGAGCAGACGUGGAGCGUCGCUUGUGCGUGGGGCGGGGGGGCUGCAGCGGCACAGUUGCAAAGGGCUGGGGGCUAGUACGAGGCUGUCCCUCUCUCAACCCUCAGGGAGAGCAGGACGCCAUGGCUCCGCGGCAUUUGGGACAGGAAAGGGAGACGAAAUGGCAGCCCCGUGUGCCCGGGGCCCAGAGAGCUCCUGGAUGAGGAAAGUAGAGAUGUGCAGAAAUAUUCCUAGUUUGAGCUCAUCCUCGACUCUAAAAAAAAAAAACAAUGGAAUGGAAAACUCUUCCUGUAGAAAGUCUGUGAGUAAAUAAUUCAGGCUCUCUAGGCCAUAGGGCGUCACCUGCUCGGCUCUGCCACUGGAGGUGAAAGCAGCCCUGGACAGUAUGUACACAGUGGGAUGUGUGCCAAUAAAACUUUAUUUACAAAAACACUCAGUGGCAUGCAGGCCAGUGUUUGUUGACCGCUGCGGUACCCCGUAAUGUCUGGGCUGGUGCGGCAGGCUGGGGGGCUGGCAUAAGGCCCAGCAUUGCCAGUGGCUUGCUGUGGUACGUUGAGUAAGGCAUUACCUGUGUCUGAGCCACAGUGUCGUCAUCUAUCAAAUGGGCAUCAACUGUCAGUCGGAUUUGUCACGAGACUAAGGUAACAGGUCAGAGCAGGGUCUUUUCACCCCUCUGUCCCAUCGCUUCACGUUGAGCUAACCCCCCUCCCCAGGCCGUACCCUUGACUGCUGGUGGCGGCGGCAGCCCGCUAGCGGGUGGACGCGUUUCUCUCCAGAGUCAGACUCUUGGCCCGGCUUUCCAACCUGCAGCCCCGAGUGACCCCAUUUCCGUAGCAAGCCAAGCGUAGGAGGAAACAUGGGGUCUCUUCUUCCCCACCACCCCGUCAUUUGGCGGAAGGCUACGGUUCACCUGAGAGAGUGAUGUGGCUGCAGUGGUUGGGGGCCAGGCUUUAUAAGAGGUCUCUGAGACUCAGGCAGGGACUAGAGUAAGGGAAGGUAAGCUUUGGUGCCCCCCCAGAUUGGCCGCCUAUGGCCCCAGCUCCCUGGGGUGCAAGUCCAGUGGCCACACCUGUGGCCUGGCAGUGACUGUAGCUCCACCACCUGCACUGAGGGGUCUUUUCGGAGCCAUCUUGUCCACCUGCCUUGUCUGACCACCACGGACAGCGUGCAUUCUUUGGUGUCUUGUCAUGUGCUCUGCAGGUCCCAUAAGUGACAUCCGUGGGAUAUUCAUUCUUUCUCUCUCUUUCAUCCCCUUCCUCCCUCCUUCUCCUCCACAUGGAUACAUUUGUCCAGGCCGAGAUGGGAUACACUGGACAGUGCUAGGUCCAGGCCUUUGCCUCAAGUCUCCAGAAAAGCAGCCCUAACCAGGAGUCUCCGUGUUGUUCUGAAGAAGCAGACUCCCUGCUCCCCCUCCAGCUCCCUCCCAGGGGGUCAUCCUCCUCAAAACCU